rnacentral:rRNA from 1 species
UACGUAGGGAGCUAGCGUUGUCCGGAAUCAUUGGGCGUAAAGCGCGUGUAGGCGGUCCGGUAAGUCCGCUGUGAAAGUCGGGGGCUCAACCCUCGGAUGCCGGUGGAUACUGUCGGGCUUGAGUACGGAAGAGGCGAGUGGAAUUCCUGGUGUAGCGGUGAAAUGCGCAGAUAUCAGGAGGAACACCAAUUGCGAAGGCAGCUCGCUGGGACGUUACUGACGCUGAGACGCGAAAGCGUGGGGAGCAAACAGG